rnacentral:rRNA from 1 species
UGGGGAAUAUUGCACAAUGGGGGAAACCCUGAUGCAGCGACGCCGCGUGAGCGAAGAAGGUUUUCGAAUCGUAAAGCUCUGUCCUAUGAGAAGAUAAUGACGGUAUCAUAGGAGGAAGCCCCGGCUAAAUACGUGCCAGCAGCCGCGGUAAUACGUAUGGGGCGAGCGUUGUCCGGAAUUAUUGGGCGUAAAGGGUACGUAGGCGGUCUAUUAAGUCAGGUGUGAAAGCGUGAGGCUUAACCUCAUUAAGCACUUGAAACUGAUAGACUUGAGUGAAGGAGAGGAAAGUGGAAUUCCUAGUGUAGCGAUGAAAUGCGUAGAUAUUAGGAGGAAUACCGGUGGCGAAGGCGACUUUCUGGACUUUUACUGACGCUCAGGUACGAAAGCGUGGGGAGCAAACAGG